rnacentral:rRNA from 1 species
UGAGGAAUAUUGCACAAUGGGGGCAACCCUGAUGCAGCAACGCCGCGUGGAGGAUGAAGGCUUUUGAGUUGUAAACUCCUUUUCUGAGGGAAGAGUAAGGACGGUACCUCAGGAAUAAGGCCCGGCUAACUACGUGCCAGCAGCCGCGGUAAUACGUAGGGGUCAAGCGUUAUCCGGAAUUACUGGGCGUAAAGAGCGUGUAGGCGGCCCGGUAAGUCCGCCGUGAAAACCUGGGGCUCAACCCUGGGCGUGCGGUGGAUACUGCUGGGCUAGAGGAUGGUAGAGGCGAGUGGAAUUCCCGGUGUAGCGGUGAAAUGCGCAGAGAUCGGGAGGAACACCAGUAGCGAAGGCGGCUCGCUGGGCCAUUCCUGACGCUGAGACGCGAAAGCGUGGGGAGCGAACAGGAUUAGAUACCCCGGUAGUCC